GUCUAUGGCCAUGACACCCUGAACAAGCCCGAUCUCAUUUGAUCUCAGAAGCUAAGGGUUGGGCCUGGUUAGUACUUGGAUGUGAGACCACCUAGGAAGACCAGGUGCUGCAGGUG
rnacentral:rRNA from 1 species